UUCAGCCGCCCUUUGGGGCGUUUCCUCCCUGACUUGGCCGUGCGAAGCUUCGCACGGCCAUUUUUCGCAAACAA
rnacentral:sRNA from 1 species